rnacentral:rRNA from 1 species
CUACGGGGUGCUCCAGUGAGGAAUAUUGCACAAUGGGGGGAACCCUGAUGCAGCAACGCCGCGUGGAGGAUGACGCAUUUCGGUGUGUAAACUCCUUUUAUAUGUCAAGAAAAUGACGGUAGCAUAUGAAUAAGCACCGGCUAACUCCGUGCCAGCAGCCGCGGUAAUACGGAGGGUGCAAGCGUUACUCGGAAUCACUGGGCGUAAAGGACGCGUAGGCUGUUUAGCAAGUCAGAUGUGAAAUCCAAUGGCUCAACCAUUGAACUGCAUUUGAAACUGCUAGACUAGAGUAUGGGAGGGGCAGAUGGAAUUAGUGGUGUAGGGGUAAAAUCCGUAGAUAUCACUAGGAAUACCUAAAGCGAAGGCGAUCUGCUGGAACAUUACUGACGCUAAGGCGUGAAAGCGUGGGGAGCAAACAGGAUUAGAUACCCGAGUAGUC